GGGGGUAUAGCUCAGUUGGUAGAGUGCUUGCCUUGCCCUGGGUUCAAUCCCCAGCACCACCA
rnacentral:tRNA from 1 species